AUGUUUCGGCAAAUCUGUGCUGCAGUUCAUGAUUUUGUGCUCCUUUCAUCAAAUUUAUAUUUUUCUCCAGACAGGCCCUGCCAGGUGAUGGAUGUCCCGAGAGACGGAAUCACCAGUGGAUAUGGAGGUGGACAGAGAGCAGCCCGUCCUUCUCCUAAGGACGUGCCACCCCAGCUGGAGACUCCCAGAAAUCCGCCGUCUAUGUUCCGAUCCAUCCUGCAGUCUUACCUGUAUGGGAAUGUGAGGCCCCAAUGGCCUACCAGGCAGCUUCUGCAGACAAAGUGGCUGCAGGUGAAACACCUCUCCAGGGAUGGGCUUUGUCAUCAGCUAAACUCAGAGGCAUCAGGAGGCCUCCUCUCCU
rnacentral:lncRNA from 1 species